rnacentral:rRNA from 1 species
GUCGAACGGACAGGUAAUGAAACCUAGUGAUUUAUCUGUUAGUGGCGGACGGGUGAGUAACGCGUGGGUAACCUGCCGUAUACAGGGGGAUAACACUUAGAAAUAGGUGCUAAAACCGCAUAAGCGCACAGGAUCGCAUGGUCCGGUGUGAAAAACUCCGGUGGUAUACGAUGGACCCGCGUCUGAUUAGCUUGUUGGCGGGGUAGAGGCCCACCAAGGCGACGAUCAGUAGCCGGCCUGAGAGGGUGAACGGCCACAUUGGGACUGAGACACGGCCCAAACUCCUACGGGAGGCAGCAGUGGGGAAUAUUGCACAAUGGGGGAAACCCUGAUGCAGCGACGCCGCGUGAGUGAAGAAGUAUUUCGGUAUGUAAAGCUCUAUCAGCAGGAAAGAAAAUGACGGUACCUGACUAAGAAGCCCCGGCUAACUACGUGCCAGCAGUCGCGGUAAUACGUAGGGGGCAAGCGUUAUCCGGAUUUACUGGGUGUAAAGGGAGCGUAGACGGUGAAGCAAGUCUGAAGUGAAAGGCGGGGGCUCAACCCCCGGACUGCUUUGGAAACUGUUUGACUGGAGUGCAGGAGAGGUAAGUGGAAUUCCUAGUGUAGCGGUGAAAUGCGUAGAUAUUAGGAGGAACACCAGUGGCGAAGGCGGCUUACUGGACUGUAACUGACGUUGAGGCUCGAAAGCGUGGGGAGCAAACAGGAUUAGAUACCCUGGUAGUCCACGCGGUAAACGAUGAUCACUAGGUGUCGGUGAGUAUAGACUCA